GAGCAGCAGCAGAAAUGCAAGCCAGAACUCACGAAAAUCUGGGCUGAGGCACCUCUGCCGAUGUCAGUGACAGCUCAUGAACAGCAGUCAACCCUGAGUCCGGCAUCGGCAAUGGAUGGAGGAGACAGGGCGAAGCUGGCCUGGAAGCGCCUGAGGGCUUUCCCAUGAUCCUCGCAGGAGUUCAGCCGGAGGAGGGCACGGACCAGUCGGAGGAGGAACUCACUCAUUUGGCAGAGGGAGGUCUUCUCCAACAGUCACAGCGACUUAGUCUCCCUUGGGCUGAGAGGGGCAGACGUGAUGUUGAAAGGCAACCAGCAGGAGACAACGGAGUGUCGCUCACCGUCUAAUGACUGCCUCAGGGUGUCAUCCCUUCCGCCAGCUCAGGUGCCCACAGAGCCCUUGGCACAGCACCCCAGACAGACUAAGUGGUCAGCACGUGCGAACUAUUACCAGGAUUCUUAUCAACCGAACACUGGUCACUUGGUUAAGAUUAUCUAAAUUCUCAGAGCGAAUGAAAAACAUCGGUGACGUAGAAAGGUUUACGGAACCCCAAUUCGCUAGAAACCGCGCCUUCCUGGGCCCCUGCGACUACGCUCCUGCCAGGAUGCAGGAUGUAGGCGAGGAUACCAAGGCCUUUCUUCUUCCUCAAUCCACACGACUCUCCCUGUUUCAUCACCUGGACGCUGCACCCCACGUACCACUUCCUGUGAAAUGCCUGGCAGAGCUUCCUGGUACGUGUUUAAACAUAGGCUCCUCUGAAGAAAUUACGAUACAGUCUGCAUGUGAGCAAACCCAUCACGUGCGGAGUCAGCCUGGAAAACACCCCACUGACCAGCAGAGGCUCAGCUGGAUGGUCCAGGGAUGGGGGGGGCACCUGGUCUUUCCUCUUACGUGGACCUCCUGGCCCCAGUGAAGGACAGCAACGUAGAAGUAGUGACCCGGAAUCAUAGACUCCCUGCUCUCAUAACCCCACGCACCCAGGGUCAUGCACUCCUAUGACCAGGGCAGCCUGCAGGAGCGACAAAGCCUUAGCCUGCCCAAUAAUCCACUUACCCACACUCUUACUGACACAGAAUCACAGCAUGCUGUCUGGACAGAAUGAAGCCUACCACCUGGCCUCCUAUCUUUAUCAAUCCUUCAGCCUUUGACCCUAACUCACCUCUUGACAAAGGGGGAGCACAGAGCGGACGUGGCUGGAUGGGGACAGAGACGUGAAGACAUCUGAGACCCCAGACCCAGGGCGAGGUGUCCGCUGACCUAGUCUCCUUGCCCCUGACUUGCUGGGAGAACAGCAGUGGCUGCUUGCGGUGCUGGUGGUGGGGGGGUGCCAAGGGGGGCGUACAACCCUGCCCCUGGCAUCUGCUGCAUGUUCCUUAAUGCCUUUGCUUGGGGAGGAGUCUGGGCUUUUGUUUCACAAGCAGGGGAUUCACUUAGAUGGCGCUGCUGGCUCCACCGCCCGGGCCCUGAUUCCUCAUCCAUAACGUGAAAGGGUGAGUCCAGUCGUUCUGCAAAGGCGCCCCGUCUCUUUGGGGCCCCAGGGUGGGCUGGCGGAGCUGAGAGCUGGAGGCGGGCACUGGCACCUGCCUCCACAUGGACUGAAUCAUGAGCCACUGCACCUGCCGGCCCUCCACUCCCCCGAAGAGAGCUCAGGGUGGAGACCAGGAGUGAGGCCCUCGGUGCUCUGGGCAAACUGGCAGAACAGGGCCUCAGACAGUUAGGCGUUUUCCGGAGAAUUCUUUAGGAGCCCAAUGCCUUAUCUCCUGGUAUCUAGAAAAGCACUAAAAUCCUUCAUGGUGACAUCCGCGCCUCGUGACUAGCAGUGACCUUCAUGAGACUAGCAGCGACCUUCUGCAAAAUGCAGGGUGGGCAGGUGAGGGGUGGGCCCACGGCUGCCCUUGGACGCAGCGCUGGGACGUGGGGAGGGCAGCUGGGUGGAGACAGGACAUCCGAAGGCAGACCGGGGCCCAGGACCCAGAGCCUGGGGAUGCAGGUAAAGAAAAGCACCCUGAUGACAGGCAUGUUAACGAGUGAUGCUGGUAGAGCUCCACUCCUCUGGAGGAAGGGGCUGCAUUUAUAGCCAUUUCUGCAAAGCAGUUCCUCUUACAGUAACGACUGCCUUUGAUCUACUGCUCCCUCUUAAAGAGCCUGGUGUUGUGUUAGGAACCUCGGACUCAAAUUGCGAGCAAACCUUGCCUCACCCACUCGGUGUUUUGGGGUUCCUCUGUCUGUGCCAAGAGGGUGGUUUCACCUUUUGGGCCAAGUGGCACAGGCCUCAGUGGCCCAAGUCACGCGGUGUCAGGACUGACUGGGGGGGCAGGGGCGCCCAGUGGGCUGUGAGGAGGGUGCUAGCCACGUGGGGGAGCCCCGGGGCCCGGGUGCUCUGCCCUCAGGUGAGCUGGCCAUGCAGCACCACCGAUAGUGAGGGGAGAGCCGAGGCUUCAGAGCUGUUUCAGGACAGCUGGAAACGGGGGUCGUUCAGAGUGACCCUUGAAGCUGUGGGUGGGAACACACGUCCUGUGACAGGUGCCCUGAAAGAGGAAGGCCCAAUGGGGUUGAGGACCUGCAAGCCUCUGCCCAGAACAGGCAAGUGGACCAUCCACAGGCGCCUGAGCCCAGAGACACCGGUUGGAACCUGUCAGUCCACUCCCGGCUCCAGACUGUGCAACCCUGGACCCGUCCCUAUGUCUGAGUUCCAGCUUCCUCACCAACAAAGGGGGCCGUAUGACACAUGACAAUUCAAAUACAUCCCUGGAGCCUCCAGGGGGCCUGGUACUGGAGCCACCAAUAAAUGGCCAUCCCUGUGGGGUGAUUUUCACUGCUACGCUGUCUUGGCCUCCAGAGUCAUGCUCCCUGCACCCCCUGGGGUGGGGAGCAUCGUGCCCAAACGCACCGCCAGGAGGCCAACCCGCUGGGGACUUUGAGCCACUGUGACUUCUAACUGCACGGCUGUCACUGCUUUUCCAGGGGAGGUCAGAGGAGGUACUUUCCUCUCCUGGAGCAUCCACAUUCUCUGAGGCACAAGGGGAACGAUAUCGAUACAUGACCGCAAACACUUUUAGAAAGGAUGACAAAUACACAAUCUCAGAAAGCCGUCUACAAACACAGGCCACUUGUUUACCCACGAGGACGGGGGACGGUGACCAAAUAGACAACGGAAAUCCACCAGUAAUCCCGCAACCCCAUUAGGCUCAACACCCCCUUCAAACUGAGGCUGGGAGCGAGCAGCCAGGCGGAUCUGUCCACUGUCACUGCCUCCCUUUCCUUGCUCGGACUCCCGGAGGGAGAACGGGGAGCGCUCAGCCCCCGGCUGGUCCUCAACCAGAGCCGACGGGCAGACAAUCAGCCUGGAGCGUCACACCCGGAAGGGUCCGGACUCGUCUGCACAACGUCCUCUAAUUCCUCCCUGGCACCUGCAGCCGGUCAGGCAUCUACCCCUACCUAUCCACCUGCCCGUCUAUGAACCUACCCAGCUGUCUAGACGGGUUCUUAAACAUCAAAUAGGACCUGAGCAGAGUCAAGGCGUAGGAGGUCGGCAAGGAGUCUAAGCAUCAUUUCAGUCCAACCUCUCCACCCUGCGGAUGACGGGUGGGCGGGCUCUGGAGGGUUCUGUGGAGCAGGUGGAGGAGGGGCUGGCCGAGCCAAGGCCUGUUCUGAGGACUGACGGGAGGGAGUCAAGGACGGUCAGGAAGGAUGCAGGGCACAGAGGAGAACGUGAGCCCCGGGUCCCUGUCUGGAGUCCCUGCUGACGGUUUAUCCUCUCAUCCUGGUGACCGGAGGGGAGUGAGAGCUACGGGGCUGUGGUCCUGCCACAUUGCUCGAUGACCAACACAACUCUGCUAGCUUCUGUCCCACCCCUAACGAGACUGCCUGGGCACUGCAACAAUCCGAGGCUAAAACAAGCAGGGGACACGCAACACUUCUUCCCCCGCCCCGCUCCCUCCCAGUGGCUGCUCUGCUGCCCUGCGCCCGACCAGAGCAGAGGGGCCCGCAGCGGGCUUCCAGGGCUCCCCCUCGCCCUGGCCUCUCCCGGCCCAGCUCGGCCACUCUUCCUUCUUCAGCGGCGGAGGCAGGACCCUGGGGCCCCCGGCUGACUUCCCACAUCCCCGUGUCACAUGCUUUUGUGUGGCCUGGGGUGUGUGGCUCUGAACUGGCCAACCCACUUCAACUGGAGGCCCAGGCCACGUGCUGAGAGAGUCAAGCUCUGCCCAGCACGUUGGUCAUAUUUCUGGGUGAUACGUUCGCAUCUGGACACUUUUCCAACUGUUUUUUUUUUUUUUUUUGAAAAAUUUCCCCUUUCCUUUGAUUGUCGUAAUCCCUUCCACUGCAUCUUCGUCCAGACGUUUGGUCAAAUUCAUGGAUUUUCCCCACAAUCUUCUCUCGAAACCUCACCCACUUCGUGGCAACUGAGAUCUGUGUGAGCUUCAUAUUCCCAAGCGGUUCUGAGUUACCACAGAGAGACAGUCAUCUCUGAAAUCUAACUUCAUUUUGCCCUGCGCCCUCCAUCCCUUCACGCCUUCCAUGUGUCACCAAGACUCCUGGCACGAUGACACAGGUGCUGUGGCAUAUCUGGCUACCUGUGCCGGGUCAUUCACACGCAUGCUCUGAUAAGCCCCCACAGCAGCUGCCUGAAGCAGUUCAGUGUCUGAGACGACGCUGUUUGCAAAACAAACCCGGAAGGGCCUUCUACUGCACUCUAGUCUCCAAAAGGGGUGGAGCUGCUCCCUGUUUUAACCCUGUGCUGCUGGCUGCCACCCACCCCGCAGCCGUUCUCAGCAUGUCACCACCGGGAACCCCUCCUGACUCUCCCCCACGGGCUUCCUUGUGUUCAGGGAGCCCUGUCUUACAAGCAACUGGCUUUUCCUUUCAGUUCAUCCAAGCCAGACAUCAGCCACUGCCAAGCAAAGUUACUGACCUGACUGCUAGUGCAAAGCAGCAGUGCCCACUGUUCAGGUGGCAUGGAAGACUUGACGGUGGGUGAAGCGG
rnacentral:lncRNA from 1 species